rnacentral:rRNA from 1 species
AACGAACGCUGGCGGCAUGCCUAACACAUGCAAGGCGAACGAUCCCUUCGGGGAUAGUGGCGCACGGGUGCGUAACGCGUGGGAAUCUGCCCUUGGCUUCGGAAUAACAGUUAGAAAUGACUGCUAAUACCGGAUGAUGUCUUCGGACCAAAGAUGUAUCGGCCAGGGAUGAGCCCGCGUAGGAUGAGGUAGCUGGUGAGGUAAAGGCUCACCAAGCCGACGAUCCUUAGCUGGUCGGAGAGGAUGAUCAGCCACACUGGGACUGAGACACGGCCCAGACUCCUACGGGAGGCAGCAGUGGGGAAUAUUGGACAAUGGGCGCAAGCCUGAUCCAGCAAUGCCGCGUGAGUGAUGAAGGCCUUAGGGUUGUAAAGCUCUUUUACCCGGGAUGAUAAUGACAGUACCGGGAGAAUAAGCCCCGGCUAACUCCGUGCCAGCCGCCGCGGUAAUAC